rnacentral:rRNA from 1 species
GACGAACGCUGGCGGCGUGCUUAACACAUGCAAGUCGAACGGAAAGGCCCUGCUUUUGUGGGGUGCUCGAGUGGCGAACGGGUGAGUAACACGUGAGUAACCUGCCCUUGACUUUGGGAUAACUUCAGGAAACUGGGGCUAAUACCGGAUAGGAGCUCCUGCUGCAUGGUGGGGGUUGGAAAGUUUCGGCGGUUGGGGAUGGACUCGCGGCUUAUCAGCUUGUUUGUGGGGUAGUGGCUUACCAAGGCUUUGACGGAUAGCCGGCCUGAGAGGGUGACCGGCCACAUUGGGCCUGAGAUACGGACCAGACUCCUACGGGCGGCAGCAGUGGGGAAUAUUGCACAAUGGGCGGAAGCCUGAUGCAGCAACGCCGGGUGCGGGAUGACGGCCUUCGGGUUGUAAACCGCUUUCGACUGUGACGAAGCGUGAGUGACGGUAAUGGGUAAAGAAGCACCGGCUAACUACGUG